rnacentral:lncRNA from 1 species
UAUCUAUACUAGUUGAUUUGCUUUUAGAUGAAGUGAAAGUCUCAGGAGACAUUUUUCUAACACUAACCCCAACACUAGUACCAUCCAUAUCCUCUAAAGGGAUUUUGGAUUUAAAGCAAGCCCUUCAAGCAUAUUGGGCAAAAGUCCAAUUCAUCUUCAAUGUCAAUUAUUCUCUUUGUUUUUUGACAAAUUUCUUAAAACCUAGAAUGGGAGUCCAAAAAGCCAAGAUAACCAAUAACCCCAAAGAACUCAAACAAACCCAAGCAAAAAUGACAAAUAGCCAAUGAUGAAGUUCAAGAAAUAGUACCUAAGGCAAGCUGAAAUCAAUGUUGGGGUGGUGGUGGUAUUGCAUAACUUGUUCUUUGGCAAAGAAAUUUCACACUCUCUGGGAAACGCAAAGGGAAAUACGAAAAAGAAGAUGGUGUGGUUUAGAAAAUUAAAGAUUCGAAGGGAAGGAAAAUGAAACGACUUAGGGUAACUAGCACGACAUUUAAGGAGACAUGCUUCGAGGAUGCAAAACUGAUGCAUUUGAAAUUCAAAUGUUUGGCUUAACGUGCACUACGUCACACACAUUUAAAGUUAAGUGACUACUUGGGUAAAUAGAUGAUCUCAGUUAAUCAGGUGAGGUCUCGUAAAAUGAGUGGCCUUAUUAGUUCCAUGUUUUGAGGUCGAGUAAGUAAAGAUGUCAACCUAGUCAUUAUAAGCAGCAUAGUGCAUUUAGUUUCCAAUUUUGAUUAGUUUCACUCUCAACAUUAGAAAUUGAGGGACUAGUAUUUGAGGGAUAAAUUAGGGAGCAUGAUUAGACAUAAUUCUGGGUAAAUCAUGCUCUCUUCAUUAUUGGGAGUAGCCAUGAGCCUCCUCAGGGUGUGGAUCUAGUAGAACUAAAAAAUAAUUGGCUUGAGGUAUCAAGAAGUGGGCAGGUUGCUUGAUAAAUGUGGUCGCGUAAGAAUCAUGCGAGAAGAGGCUCAAAUCAAGUUAACUCGGAGACUUGGUUGAGAGUUAACUCGCGGAUCUCCUCAGAAAGACUAGGGCAUGACUCACUAACGGCUACUCUCUUUAUCUAGUAAUUCUCAGUCUUCCAUACAUAUCCCUGAAAAUUCAAAAUUAGGUAAGUAAUCUCUCUCUACUACUAAAUUUUCUUUUUCUAUCUCUUAAAUUUCUUCCAGUUUUCUUUAUUUAUUUUAAAUCUUUCUUGUUUAAAAGCAACCAUAAUUGAGCCACGUGGGUUACGGCACAAGUUUUUCUAAAAAGCCUAGAUAACUAACUUGAGCGCCAGAGGGUUUAUGCUAGAAAAACCUCUGGCAUUCCUCUAACCGUUCUUUGUGAACGCAGGUGAAUCUCGUAGGAAGUGCUUAUGGUUGUUAGUGUUUACUCGAAGAAAGGAGUUGCUAGCAAGUAUUGUAUCCCAUUAAAAUAAAUUUAGGUGUUGGUAUGGACACCAAGUCACAACUCC